GAAAAUUUCGGCCCCUCCCUUAUUCAGACUCUCUUGUGCAUAUUAUAAACAGCAGUAAUGAAAAUUGACUCUGAAGACAGAUAUGCUUUCUCCAAAUUCUACGUAGAUCGAAAUUUCACCAUCAAUUAUCGAAAUGUUCUCAAUAAUAUGAUAGAAAUAGAAGAAUUUGUUUCAUUUUGCUGCAUCAAAUAUUUCGCUAUGAAGCCUUUCGAGGCAAGAGAAUUCUUGACGUAGGAUGUGGCCCGACUGUUCACAGAAUGGCAGCACCGAGUAAAUAUUUUUCGGAAAUUGUUUUGUCUGAUUAUUCCCAGUACAACCGUGAAGCUGUUCAAGAAUGGUUAAAAGACCAAUCGUCGAAGGAUUGGGAUACUUUGAUGCGAAUGGAAGCAUUACUUGAGGG